CAGGCAUGGCAAACGGGAGAGUAACACAUUGGUAACCUACCUUGAGGACGAGCAUAACCCGGAGAAAUCCGGAAUAAUACUCGAUAAAAGUGGGGGGACACUAAGUCAUUCCUACUUAAAGCGUUUGCGCCUCAAGAGGGGCCUAUGGCCUAUCAGCUAGAAGGUGAGGGUAAAAGCCCACCUUGGCGAUGACGGGUAUCGGGUGUGAGAGCAUGGCCCGACUCACUGGGACUGAGACACUGCCCAGACUCCUACGGGAGGCUGCAGUCACGAAUCUUCCUCAAUGGCCGAAAGGCUGAAGGAGCAAUGCCGCGUGCAUGAAGAAGCCCUUCGGGGUGUAAAAUGCUUUUAUUAGGGAAGAACUAAUGACGGUACCUAAUGGAUAAGGGGCUGCUAACCUCGUGCCAGCAGCAGCGGUAAUACGAGGGCCCCAAGCGUUAUCCGGAUUUAUUGGGCGUAAAGGGUCCGCAGGCUGUUUAGCGCAUCUCCUGUUAAAUCUACGGGCUUAACCCGUACGCCGCGGGAGAGAUGGCUAGACUAGAGGCCGGAAGAGGCGAGCGGAAUUGCUGGUGUAGGGGUUAAAUCCGUUAAUAUCAGCAGGAACACCAAAUGCGUAGGCAGCUCGCUAGAACGGGUUCUGACGCUCAGGACGAAAGCGUGGGUAGCGAAGGGAUUAGAUACCCCCGUAGUCCACGCCGUAACCGCUGAUGCUAGCAUGUAGUAUCGACCUAUCAUGCCUGUU
rnacentral:rRNA from 1 species